AGGAAGCUGUCUUGCCCAAGUCUCCCUCCUGCAGAAUCCGAGCAAGCAUUGAAUACAUGAGGUUAUGUCACAGAUUGGCCAAAAGCAACAAGAAAGCCAUUUCGCACAUAUUGCAUCUAAAUCUUGGAGGUGCGCAGUUUUGAAAAACUUGGGCAGAAUGUAUUGUCUUACAGGAACAAGAAGCAUGAUCAUAAGAGGGAACAGAACCCCAGCAAUUGGAAUCCAUGUGAUACCAAAACAAACAAUCAAGUACACAGUCUGGAAGAUCGUGAAUGCUGCAAUUCUUGUGAAAGGUACUGUUUCAAUUGAAAAUUAGCAAAAUGCGUUCCCAGAACUGGUUCCCGGGUAAGUUCUCGAUGGCCAUGAAUGCAAAAUAACCACAGAGUACAGAAGUUGGAAUCGUUUUCAGGAAUGGCAUUGCUGCUAUACAUCCUCCUACCAUCAAAGAUUGGAGUAAGUUGCUCACUCUUUGUUCUUUGACCUCGAUAGGCAAGAUGUCUUCGAUUUCCUUUUCGACAUCAAAUACUGACUCAUCAAUUGCAGCAUUCAUACUCUCCAUGCUUGAUGUCAAUUGAAUCGUCGACUCUUUCAACUCUUUUAACCCCUGCCAAAACAAUAAAAUGAAGAUUAUUCAUGCCAUUGGUGAGACAGUAAGGGUAACUAACAAAAGACAACGAUUCUGCAUACUCGAGAAGACUCCUGGUGAACUAGAGGGGUUUGCAUCUGCUGCUGAAGCUCUACAAAGCAAGAAAACUGGUAAGCUGCAUAUCUACCUGGUGCUUUAGUGUAGCUAAGCUUUUGGUAUGCAUUGGAGAUUGUGGAAUCACACCAUUUGAUGGGGGAAUUCCAAUUAGACCACAUAA